GACGAACGCUGGCGGCGUGCCUAAUACAUGCAAGUUGAGCGCUGAAGGUUGGUACUUGUACCAACUGGAUGAGCAGCGAACGGGUGAGUAACGCGUGGGGAAUCUGCCCUUGAGCGGGGGACAACAUUUGGAAACGAAUGCUAAUACCGCAUAAAAACUUUAAACACAAGUUUUAAGUUUGAAAGAUGCAAUUGCAUCACUCAAAGAUGAUCCCGCGUUGUAUUAGCUAGUUGGUGAAGUAAGGGCUCACCAAGGCGAUGAUACAUAGCCGACCUGAGAGGGUGAUCGGCCACAUUGGGACUGAGACACGGCCCAAACUCCUACGGGAGGCAGCAGUAGGGAAUCUUCGGCAAUGGACGAAAGUCUGACCGAGCAACGCCGCGUGAGUGAAGAAGGUUUUCGGAUCGUAAAACUCGGUUGGUAGAGAAGAACGUUGGUGAGAGUGGAAAGCUCAUCAAGUGACGGUAACUACACAGAAAGGGACGGCUAACUACGUG
rnacentral:rRNA from 1 species